GAUGAACGCUAGCUACAGGCUUAACACAUGCAAGUCGAGGGACCGGCGCACGGGUGAGUAACACGUAUCCAACCUGCCCUUUACUCGGGGAUAGCCUUUCGCAAGAAAGAUUAAUACCCGAUAUAAAGUAUGGGGAUGCGUUCCAUUAGGUUGUUGGUGAGGUAACGGCUCACCAAGCCUUCGAUGGCUAGGGGUUCUGAGAGGAAGGUACACCACAAUGGAACUGCGACACGGUCCAAACACGUACGGGAGGGUGCGGAAUGGAGUAUUAGUGAAUGGGCGCUAGCCUGAACCUGCCAAGUGGCGUGAAGGAGGAAGGGGUAUGGGUGGUAAACUACUUGUGUAGAAGGAGAUGUAUUAGAUGAAUAAGGAUCGGCUAACUCCGUGCCAGCAGCCGCGGUAAUUC
rnacentral:rRNA from 1 species